GGAGUGAGCGUAGUUGAGAUAUCUUGCCGGUGACUUUGCAUUUAAAAACUGAAGGUCAGAAAGUCAAAGCAGCACGCUAAAGCUGGGAAGAUUCUAAAUCCUACUGGGUCAUUGACACAAAUGAUAUGCUACUGGGGAACGCAAAAGAAGAGCAGUCCAAGUUACAAACCAAGUGCUAAAGUUCUCCUAAGUUCUCCAGUUCACUGAUUUAUGCAAAAGAAAUAAAGCCCCAUGUUUCUAGUCCUCAAUAGUAUAAUCUCCUUAAUCAAUUUGAUUGCUGAAUGGAAGCAGCAGAGGAGGACAUGCAUCCAGAUUCUCUAAUGUCCUGCAGAGAAUUCACAUUGAAUCCUAAACUGAUGAAGAAGUGAUCUCACUUUCACCUAUGGUAGUAUCAGACCUUUUCUCUUUGAAGUCUCAAUCUACUGCAGCCUGUUCUGAAUAGCUUUGACUUGCAAGUUCUGUUCCUAUA
rnacentral:lncRNA from 13 species